GACGAACGCUGGCGGCGUGCCUGACACAUGCAAGUCGGACGGUUCUUGUACCUUCAAGCUUGCUUGUUGGUGCAAGGAUAGUGGCGGACGGGUGAGUAACGCGUGAACAUCUACCCAUUGGAGGGGGACAACCCGUCGAAAGGCGGGCUAAUACCGCGUAAGCCGCGAGGUGAGAGGCUGCCUAUUGGUGGCCGCCGAUGGAUGGGUUCGCGUCCUAUCAGCUGGUUGGUGGGGUAACGGCCUACCAAGGCGAAGACGGGUAGCCGGUCUGAGAGGAUGGCCGGCCACACUGGAACUGAGACACGGUCCAGACUCCUACGGGAGGCAGCAGUGGGGAAUAUUGGACAAUGGAUGGAAAUCUGAUCCAGCCAUGCCGCGUGCAGGAAGACGGCCCUAUGGGUUGUAAACUGCUUUUAUAUGGGAGCAAUAAGGUUUAACGCGUAGACCGAUGAGAGUACCAUAUGAAUAAGCAUCGGCUAACUCCGUGCCAGCACG
rnacentral:rRNA from 1 species